ensembl:lncRNA
UUUUCUUGCAGCAGGAUGGUGCUUGCUUGCAAGUCAACACCGUGUUUAAUCUGCAUGCCGCCUAAGAAGCUGUGGUUUUAUUGGGUUGAACCAGGACCCUGACACAGAGAUAAGCAACCUGCCCAAAGUCACACAGCAAGUAAAUGGCAGAGAAGGAAUUCAGAUCCAAAGCCUUCCUGGGAGCUGGACUGGUGGCAGUUUCCUGAAAAUUGAGGAGACAGAACAAUGGCUCCAGAAUGGUGUCGCCAGGAAGGCUCCUAAGAGGAAGAGUCUUCAGCUGAGUCUUGAAAGCAGAAGAGGUUUUCCAGCUACCAAUGACAAAAUCAAUCCCCGAAGGUAAUGGAUCAGCCUAAUCCAGCUGGGGCCAUCUGUCCUGUAGCCUGUCAGUCACACUCUAGGCGGCUUGCUGUAGGCUGGGACACAGCUUCUGCUGGGACACCUUUCACCUCUCUCCCCUCCUCCUGUCCCUGAGCCCUGUGUUUCCUCUCCCCUGGAUUAUUUCCUCCUUUUAUUGGAGCCUCUCCUCCACAGCUUCCUGGGAAAGUGUGCCAGGAAGAUAAGUUUUCUGCAGCUUCACAAACCUGAAGGCUCCCCAGGUGGCACAGUGGGUUCGAUCCCUGAGUUGGGAAGAUGCCCUGGAGAAGGAAAUGACAACCCACUCCAGUAUUCUUGCCUGGAGAAUUCCAUGGACAGAAGAGCCUGGUGGACUAUAGUCCAUGGGGUCACAGAAUCAGACAUGACUGGGCACAUGCACUUCAACAACUCUGCAUACCUGAAAAUGUCUUUUACCCUAACAGGACUGAUAGUUUGGCGAAGUACAGAAUUCUAGGGUUGCAACCA